UACGUAGGGUGCGAGCGUUGUCCGGAAUUAUUGGGCGUAAAGAGCUCGUAGGCGGUCUGUCGCGUCGGUCGUGAAAACUUGGGGCUUAACCCUGAGCUUGCGGUCGAUACGGGCAUGACUGGAGUUCGGCAGGGGAGACUGGAAUUCCUGGUGUAGCGGUGAAAUGCGCAGAUAUCAGGAGGAACACCGGUGGCGAAGGCGGGUCUCUGGACAGUUCCUGACGCUGAGGCACGAAGGCCAGGGGAGCAAACGGG
rnacentral:rRNA from 1 species